rnacentral:pre_miRNA from 1 species
CCCAGGGGCGGGCGCGGAGAGGGCCCACAGUGCACUCGGUGACACUGUAUGCCCUCACCGCUCAGCCCCUGGG